rnacentral:lncRNA from 1 species
UCCGCUUCAAGUUCUGGGGCAUUAUUAAUUAUUCAUCUCUCCCAGUCCUUUUUCCUGGGAGCAGGAUUUCCCCUGGUUUAGUCUCAUCUUCGGUCAGGUGGAACAAUGGCAGCAUUGGAUGUGAGCAGCGAACGUGCCGAAGAGGACAAAACAAGGUAAGAGGAAGAAUUUCCAAAGCCACUCAUUCCCCCUUGGAGAACUAGACCUGGCUGUUCUUUCUGUCCUGCAUUAAUUGGUAUCAUCCUGAAGAAGAAGCUUCCUUUUUAAGAACAUUACAGCUGCGAGUCAUGUGACCGUGAUUAUGUCAGCUGCGGCAUCAGAAGAGUUAAAAUUAGUAAGGUUUCAGUAAAUUUGACUUAAACUAUGAUUGAAAACUGCUGCGUACCCCUCCGCCUGCACGUUCCGGUAAACUGCCUGCUGUGCCCCUGUGAUGGGCCUCACCUGCUUUCCCCGUGGGGAUUAAUGCAGCUCAAGGAGUGGGGCUGGUUCCCUUCCCCUUAGCUGUGUGACACCUUCCUCUCCCAGAGUAGCCCAGACCAUGAGGGAGCCGCAAUGCAGAUGGAGCCACGGACAGAUCGUUGCUGAGCGGGUCACUUUGGAAGCAGGUGGGCUGCAGAAUUGCUCAGACCCACACCCCUAAGGGCUCUUGCUCAGGGCUUCGGUGAACUUACCUACCUGGUUUUUUCCCCUAUAGUCCAAAACUUUUACCAUGCAAUCAGUCCUGUGACAUUUUUGGAGGGAAAGCUUCAGAGUUCCAAGCACUAGGUAGGUAGGUGGGUGGUCUGAUUCCCAUUUCUGCCCACCACAGGCUGGGCAGGCCUGCCUCCUUCCCGGUCUCCAAGGCCGCCCCUCUGCGGGGCAGAGGGAAGCUGUUGGAAGGCCAUGCCAGUGUUAUCAGAUAAUAAGAUGACAAGGUUUAGGAUAGUGGAGAGAGG